rnacentral:lncRNA from 1 species
GCUUGUGCGCAUGUCCCCGCGCAGGGUCGGGCGCUGGGGUGUGGAGACUGAACCUUGCAGACACCCGGGUCCGCACGUCUGGGAUGGACGUGAGACAGUCUCGCUAUAUUACCCAGGCUGGAGUGCAGUGUCAAGAUCUCGACUCACUGCAGCCUUGAACUCCUGGGCUCAAGUGAUCCUCCCACAGUGCUGGGAUUACAGGCGUGAGCCACCGCACCCGGCCUCUAGUUCUGUCUUUUUGCUCAGUAUUAGAAUUCGUAAGUUCUGGCCCCAGCAACUCGUCCUUUCAUCUGUCUCAAGUUGCACUGUGGUGGUCACAGGAGCUGUCCUGCACCUUGCACAUGUGGCCAUGAACAAGACUCGCUCCUUGCUCUCAUGGGGCCUUCAUUCCAGUGAGACACAAAUGCAAACACAAAAUUCCAGAAGAGUGCUGAGUGCUAUCAUGAGAAACGAAGACAGGCUGGAAGAUGGGCUCUGACCCCAGAAAACCGAUGGAGAGGCCCAAGCAGCCUUGGGAGCAACAGGCAAGUUGGAGGACACACGGCAAGGCUACUUGGAAGUAGGGGAGGGUGCAUGGGAAACCCUGAGGCUGUGGGGGGAGAGGCAGGAGCCAGGUGAAGUCCAGGUAGAUGGCAGUGGAGAUGUAAGAACAUGGUGGAAUUUUUUUGUUUUUGAGACGGAGUCUUGCUCUGUCCCCCAGGGUGGAGUGCAAUGGUGAGAUCUCAACUCACUGCAACUUCCGCCUCCCAGGUUCAAGCGAUUCUCUGGGAUUAUAGGCACCUGCCACCAUGCCCAGCUAAUUUUUGUAUUUUUUAGUAGAGAUGGGUUUUCACCAUGUUGGUCAGGCUAGUCUCGAACUCCUGACCGCGGGUGAUCCGCCCGCCUCAGCUUCCCAAAGUGCUGGGAUUACAGGCGUGAGCCACCGCGCCUGGCCAGAACAUGGUGGAAUUUGAGUGUGCUUGGGAAUACACUUAUAGGACUUGCUGAUUAGUUGAAUGAGGAAAUAAAAGAACGAAGAAUAUCUUCUGGGAUUUCAGCCUGAGCAACUGGGUUGCUGGUGGAUGGUGGUUCUCUUAUCAAGGAUGGGAAAGAUGGGUUGUCUCCCCUAAAAUACUGAGUUUUAAAGGCAGGGACUGUAUCUUUGCAGUCCUGGCUCCUAGCAAGGGCCUAGCCCUUAUAUGACAUUCGUGAAUGUUGAAAUGAAUGUGACACGCCUGAAACAAUCCUUCUCCCUCACCUAGGCCCACAUCUCCAAGUCAAUAUUCCAGUACAAGCCACAUCCAGUCCCCUCACUGACACACACAGGCCUGGGCCCAGGAGCUCACCCCUGUGCUGUAAGGCUAGGUGCAUGUGUUAUUUCCAGAGUCUACCCUUGGAGGUGCCUCAGACUCCUGGGUACCUGUCGCUGGGAGGUAGCCAGUCAUGCUGUCCACAUACAUGCUUUUGGGCAGUAGAGAAGCUGAUCAUUGGGAAGGUUUAUUUCCUGUCUCCACAACAGGAGGCAGGUCACAGCAGUGGCCACACAGUGCACAAAAGGCCAUCCCCUCACAGCCGCAUGGUUGGCAUGCAGCAUCUCAGCCUCCAAACUGGAAGCCCCCUAUCCAAGGAGCCCCCAGGUGGGAGAGGAAGGUCACAAGCCUCCCAAGUACCUCAAGAUGCCUGCGCAUCCUCCCCCAUUUCUCAGAUGGGCCAAGGCCUGUGAAGCCCUUGCAGUAGUAGCUCAGGUGUAGCAUCUGCUCAGCUUCCCUCCCCACUCAUUUGCACACAGCCAGAGCUGCGGGACUUCUGCCCUCUGGCCUCCAGCACUGCUGUGAAUCAGAACUAGUCAAGAGAACUGGGUGCUUGUGUUAAAUGGGAACACUCUGGAAUAAAAUAUGGGCUUUUUUAAAGAGAUGGGGUCUCACUAUGUUGCCCAGGCUGGUCUUGAACUCCUGGCCUCAAGCAAUCCUCCCAGGUCAGCCUCCCAAAUUGCUGGGAUUACAGGCGUGAGCCAGCACACCCAGCCCCUGCUAGCUUUUUAAUAUGAACUUCCAGUGUAUUCUUGAGCACUCUCAGGCAACAUGGCCGUUACCGAGCAACUUUGUCCUGAGGUGCAUUUGGAAGGCUCUGGGACUUGGUCCCCAUGCUCAACUUCAGGGCACCUUGGCAGAAAGAAGAGUGGUUCCUACACCAGCAGCUUAUAUAUUAAUGCCCACAUUACUCCAUUUUCUUCAGGUCGUCAAAAAAGGUUCCACUGAGGUGCUGUCUUUCUGUAAAUGAAAAUGAGCUGAAAUGCUCCUGUGACCUGCCCUCCAUUUGUGGGUCUCAUGAUACUAUCUUUCUUCUGCUUAACACGAUGGCAUCAUCCAGUGAGACAGGUCCUGUUUUUGUUUUUUUCUUUUUUUCUUUUUCUUUUUUGAGACAGAGUCUCACUCUGUUGCCCAGGCUGGAGUGCAGUGGAGCAGUCUUGGCUCACUGCAACCUCUGCCUCCCGGGUGCAAGCAGUUCUCCUGCCUCAGCCUUCCAAGCAGCUGGGAUUACAGGUACCUGCGACCAUACCACCUAAUUUUUUGUAUUUUUAGUAGAGAUGGGGUUUCGCCAUGUUGGGCAGGCUGGUCUUGAACUCCUGACCUCAUGAUCUACUGUCUCAGCCUCUCAAAGUGGUGGGAUUAUAGGCGUGAGCCACAGUGCCUGGCUUUUUUUUUUUUUUGGAGACAGCCCCAUCGUUCUGUCGCCAGGCUGGAGUGCAGUGGUGCGAUCUCGGCUCACUGCAACCUCUGACUUCCUGGUUCAAGCGAUUCUUCUGCCUAAGCCUCCUGAGUAGCUGGGAUUACAGGCACACGCCACCAUGCCCGACUAAUUUUUGUAUUCUUAGUAGAGAUGGGGUUUCACCAUGUUGGCCAGGAUGGUCUCGAUCUCCCGGCCUUGUGGUCCACCUGCCUCAGCCACCUACAGUUCUGGGAUUACAGGUGUGAGCCACUGCGGCCGGCAGAGACAGGUCCUUCUUAUCCCUGUAAGGCACAGUAUCUCUGCCAUAGAUUGGGUCCCUGGUUUGGGAAGAGGGUAAAACAAGCCCUCAUUCUUGGGUCUCGUCAUUGGACAAGCUGGCUGGGCAAGUCACAGCAUCCACAUUUGGUGGAACAUGGGUGUUGGUAGACCCCAACCCAGAGAGCUUGCACCCUUGCAGAGGACGUCUCCUUCACUACUGCACUGGCUCCCCCUGCACAGGGGCCUAAACCAGCUUGGGCCUUAGGGAAGCCAAUAGGGGAGGCGUAGCUGCUUGUUCUCCCUCCUGCCCAUCCACUUCAGCUCACCGUAAUAUCCCAAGUGGUCUUCCCCUUGCUAGAAUCAGAGGACAGGCUGACCUAAAAACCAACUCAGUAUGCAGCUUUUCAAAGCAAUGAGUCAGGCAGGGCUUUUGACAUAAUGUCCUCUGCAGUUCAUUUUAAACAAGGAUACAAAGUAUUAUUAAAUGUAUAUUUUUAAUAAAGCCAAUAGUUAUUUUACUUAUAGGAGCUUUAAAAGAUACAAAAUGUAGAGUUCCAGUUUGGAAGCAUUGUAACUAUACACACAAUGUCCUGCUGAUGCCCUAGCAAGGCACCCACGCCCAACCAUGCAAAGGACACACACGUUCACACAUGCACACACAUGCGCUUUGGCGAGACCCCUCUGCCAAGCGCAGCACCUGGAAUUACCAGUGUUCAGAGCAAGGCGGUGCCGGGAACACAGCACCUACAUGGAGACCACACAAACGGCUUCACACAGUCUCACAGCCCAUGGAGAUGCAAUUAGAAAAUGUCUUCCUUAAUAGAGAAAAACAAACUGGAAAGUGACAAUUAGUGACGUCACCUGUGCUGGAGCAUCAAGGAUUGACCUCUGUCCAAGGUGAGGCCUUUGGAGAGGCACUAUUAAAACAUGAGUACUUCAGUAUAAUGGAACUCGAAAUACAGGGUACUGUGGACACAUUACUGAAGGAAAUAGAAAACUAUCUUACAAGUAGAACAGCCAUAGACAACUUUAACAGAGAUUAGUGUGCACACCGUGACAGCUAACACAGACAAGAGCCACGCAGGGUUGGUGCAAAGCACGUGCCUGAAAAUGUCUAUAUACAAAACAGUUCUUUGUAAACAUGGUGAGGUGAAUGCUCAGAACCACGGCAAAAGAUCAUAAAUACAGGCAGCAAUGCAUCCCCACACAGCACAAAAGACAACACCUGAGGCCUGGGAAGAGCCUGACAACACAGUACUAAAAACUCAGGUGGCUGGGCUCAGACACCCUACGGGUCCUCUCAAAUUAGUGUGUGUGUUUACAUACAUACAUACAUACAUAUAUAUAUAUUCUUUUUUUUUUUUCUUGUUGAGACGGAAUCUCACUCUGUCACCCAGGCUGGAGUGCAGUGGCACAAUCUCAGCUCACUGUAACCUCCGCCUCCCGGGUUCAAGCGAUUCUUCUGCUUCAGCCUCCCGAGUAGCUGGGACUACAGGCGCACGCCACCACACCCGGCUAAUUUUUGUAUUUUUAGUAGAGAUGGGGUUUCACCAUAUUGGCCAGGCUGGUCUCGAACUCCUGACCUUAGGUGAUCCACCUGCCUCGGCCUCCCAAAGUGCUGGGAUUACAGGCGUGAGCCACCACGCCCAGCCUCUUUUUGGUA